GUUUUGACCAAUCCGCUCCAUGCUUCCGCAGCCAAUUCGCCUCGUCCCACUCCCGCACCAGCCAUCACACAAACCCUAGCCUUGUUUUCCCUCGAUCCCCACAGCCUCCCGCUCCCCUCCUCCAUCCCCCUCCUUGCGUCACCACGGCCUCCGCUCUGGAGCCCCGCCGCCGCCUCUCCUCCACCACCUCCUCGCGUCGCCACGGCCUCCGCCCCGGAGUCCCACCGCCGCCUGCUAUUCCUCCUCCACCAUGCUAGCCCCUCUACCUCGUCUUCCUUCUCUUCGUUGUUGGUUCCAGAUCGAGCGCGGGUUAGGCGAGCCCGGUGGUGGGGUGAAGGGGCAGGGGAAGAGGAGGUGGGCAACUAGGUGAAGGAGCAGGUCGGCCCUCCUGGAGGCAGCGCCGCCGCCCAGCCAGGGAGGAGGCCAGACUCUCCUCUAGGCUCGCCUCUGUUUUGCCCUGAGCGGCGGCAGCGCCUAUGCCUCCACCCCACCUUCUUUUCCAUGCCUCUUCCAUGGCAUGGCAGGAAGAUUUUGGGGAUGGGGAGACCCCAUGAAUAAUAAUUCAAGUGGACGGACGAUGCGCCUUGUUGUUUAGCGGUAUGAUCUAUGAUGGUCGGCGAAAGUAUGUUCUAUAUUGCAAGGGCUAGGUGUCCUCCCUCCUCUUGGUGACAUAUAAGAGGACCUGCACACUGAACCGGGAAGUCCUUUUUUAGGCAGUGGUCAUGGAGCAACAAUAUAUGCUGCGUGGCAUUGCAGGUUAUUUUCCGCCCCGGUCGAUCCAGGCACGGCAUCGGAUGGGAGAGAGCAGGGGAGGGCCAAGAGGCCAGCGGUGUGGGGUGGAGUAGCGAGGCCGAACACCGGGCAGCGGACGCCUCACAGGGUGGAGGAGAGGCCGGCGAUAGGGAAAAGCAACAUCUUCAUGGAUGAGAUCCUGACGGCUGAAGAUGGUGUGCACGGGAGGAGCUUGGAAGAUGUCAAGG
rnacentral:rRNA from 1 species